UCUCUUGAGCGCAGGAAAAGAAACUAACAAGGAUUCCCCUAGUAACGGCGAGUGAAGCGGGAAGAGCUCAAAUUUGUAAUCUGGCGGCCUUUGGCCGUCCGAGUUGUAGUCUCGAGAAGCGUUUUCUGCGUCGGACCGUGUACAAGUCCCUUGGAACAGGGCGUCGUAGAGGGUGAGAAUCCCGUCUUGAACCACGGACUGCCGGUGCUUUGUGAUGCGCUCUCAAAGAAUCGAGUUGUUUGGGAAUGCAGCUCAAAACGGGUGGUAAAUUCCAUCUAAAGCUAAAUAUGGGCGAAAGACCGAUAGCGAACAAGUACCGUGAGGGAAAGAUGAAAAGCACUUUGGAAAGAAAGUUAAACAGUACGUGAAAUUGCUGAAAGGGAAACGCUUGAAGUCAGUCGCGUCUUCCGGGACUCAGCCGUGCCUUUUGCACGGUGUACUUCCUGGGGUGUGACGGGCCAACAUCGGUUUUGACCGUCGGAAAAAGGCUUUGGGAAUGUGGCACCUUUUCGGGUGUGUUUAUAGCCCUUGGGUCGCAUGCCACGGUUGGGAUCGAAGGACCCGCAACACGCCUUUUUGGCCGGGGUUCGCCCACGUUAACGGGCCUUUAAGAAGCCUUGGCGUAAAUGGGCUUUUAAACAAACCC
rnacentral:rRNA from 1 species